GACGAACGCUGGCGGCGUGCUUAACACAUGCAAGUCGAACGGAAAGGCCCUGCUUUUGUGGGGUGCUCGAGUGGCGAACGGGUGAGUAACACGUGAGUAACCUGCCCUUGACUUUGGGAUAACUUCAGGAAACUGGGGCUAAUACCGGAUAGGAGCUCCUGCUGCAUGGUGGGGGUUGGAAAGUUUCGGCGGUUGGGGAUGGACUCGCGGCUUAUCAGCUUGUUGGUGGGGUAGUGGCUUACCAAGGCUUUGACGGGUAGCCGGCCUGAGAGGGUGACCGGCCACAUUGGGACUGAGAUACGGCCUAGACUCCUACGGGAGGCAGCAGUGGGGAAUAUUGCACAAUGGGCGGAAGCCUGAUGCAGCAACGCCGCGUGCGGGAUGACGGCCUUCGGGUUGUAAACCGCUUUCGCCUGUGACGAAGCGUGAGUGACGGUAAUGGGUAAAGAAGCACCGGCUAACUACGUG
rnacentral:rRNA from 1 species